GGUGAAGGAAGCCAGCGAGGUCAGGGUGACUCCUAGAAAUCCAGAUAGCCUACCUGCAUCUGAUGAAAUCAGCCAGACAGCCAACCAGCCAUGUCUUACACUCCGGGGAUUGGUGGGGACUCUGCCCAGCUGGCACAACGCAUCUCCUCUAACAUCCAAAAGAUCACACAAUGCUCCCUGGAAAUACAAAUGACUCUGAAUCAACUUGCAACACCUCAAAACUCACCGGAACUGAGGCAACCGCUGCAGCAGAAGCAGCAGUAUACUAACCAACUUGCAAAAGAAACUGACAAGUACAUUAAAGAGUUUUGCUCUCUGCCCACCACCCCCAGUGAGCAGCGUCAGAAAGACUGAUUAGUGGCAGAGCUCACCACAUCGCUGACAAACUUCCAGAAGGCCCAGAGGCAGGCUGCUGAGAGAGAGAAAGAGUUUGUUGCUCGAGUGCGAGCCAGCUCCAGGGUAUUGGGUGGUUUACCCAAAGACAGCUCAAAAGAAAAGAAUCUUGUAUCCUGGGAAAGCCAAACACAGCCUCAAGUGCAGGUCCAAAAUGAAGAAAUCACAGAGGAUGACCUCCGACUAAUUCAUGAGAGAGAGUCUUAAAUCAGGCAGCUGGAAGCUGAUAUUAUGGACAUUAAUGAAAUAUUUAAAGACUUGGGAAUGAUGAUUCAUGAAAAAGGCGAUGUGAUUGACAGCAUAGAAGCCAAUGUAGAAAGUGCAGAGGUUCACGUUCAACAGGCAAACUAGCAGCUGUCAAUAGUGGCAGAUUAUCAGCGCAAACCCAGGAAAACCCUCUGCAUCAUCAUUUUUAUCCUUGUGGUUGGAAUCGUGAUCAUCUGUCUCAUAGUAUGGGAACUGAAAGGCUGA